rnacentral:rRNA from 1 species
UACAGAGGGGGCAAGCGUUAUUCGGAAUUAUUGGGCGUAAAGGGCGCGUAGGCGGCUUGGCAAGUGGAUGGUGAAAUCCCUCGGCUUAACCGAGGAACUGCCGUCCAAACUGCUUCGCUUGAGACCGGGAGAGGUGAGUGGAAUUCCCAGUGUAGCGGUGAAAUGCGUAGAUAUUGGGAGGAACACCAGUGGCGAAGGCGGCUCACUGGACCGGUACUGACGCUGAUGCGCGAAAGCAUGGGGAGACGAACAGGA